GAAGGACUCUCGGCAACGGAUAUCUCGGCUCUCGCAUCGAUGAAGAACGUAGCGAAAUGCGAUACUUGGUGUGAAUUGCAGAAUCCCGUGAACCAUCGAGUUUUUGAACGCAAGUUGCGCCCGAAGCCUUUUGGCCAGGGCACGUCUGCCUGGGCGUCACGC
rnacentral:rRNA from 1 species